rnacentral:rRNA from 1 species
GAUGAACGCUGGCGGCGUGCUUAACACAUGCAAGUCGAACGGUGAAGCAGAGCUUGCUCUGUGGAUCAGUGGCGAACGGGUGAGUAACACGUGAGCAACCUGCCCCUGACUCUGGGAUAAGCGCUGGAAACGGCGUCUAAUACUGGAUAUGAGCUGCGACCGCAUGGUCAGCAGUUGGAAAGAUUUUUCGGUCUGGGAUGGGCUCACGGCCUAUCAGCUUGUUGGUGAGGUAAUGGCUCACCAAGGCGUCGACGGGUAGCCGGCCUGAGAGGGUGACCGGCCACCCUGGGAAUGGGCCCCGGCCCAGACCCCUCCGGGGGGCAGGGGGGGGGAAUUUUGCACAAGGGGGGAAGGCCGUAGGCAGCACCCCCGCGUGGGGGAGGACGGCCUUCGGGUUGUAAACCCUUUUUAGGAGGGAAGAAGCGAAAGGGACGGAACCGGAAGAAAAAGCCCCGGCAAACUACGU